CGGGGCAGUAGCUCAAUUGGCAGAGCAGCGGACUCCAAAUCCGCAGGUUGAGGGUUCGAGUCCUUCCUGCCCCGCUUU
rnacentral:tRNA from 1 species